AUUAAAGUAAGCUAAGGUUUAAGCUAUUGGGCUCAUACCCCAAAAAUGAUAAAAUUCCUUUAAUG